rnacentral:rRNA from 1 species
GUGAGUAACCCGCCUUGCACAAGGGGAUAGCCGUUGGAAACGACGAAUAAUACCCUAUGAUAUGAUAGUCUCGCAUGAGAUUAUCAUCGAAGAUUUAUCGGUGUAAGAUGGACUCGCGUCUGAUUAGCUAGUUGGUGGGGUAACAGCCUACCAAGGCAACGAUCAGUAGCCGGCUUGAGAGAGUGUACGGCCACAUUGGGACUGAGACACGGCCCAG